rnacentral:rRNA from 1 species
AUUGAACGCUGGCGGCAUGCCUUACACAUGCAAGUCGAACGGCAGCGGGGACUUCGGUCCGCCGGCGAGUGGCGAACGGGUGAGUAAUGUAUCGGAACGUACCUUUCAGUGGGGGAUAACGUAGCGAAAGUUACGCUAAUACCGCAUAUUCUCUGAGGAGGAAAGCAGGGGACCUUCGGGCCUUGCGCUGAUGGAGCGGCCGAUAUCAGAUUAGCUAGUUGGUGGGGUAAAGGCUCACCAAGGCUACGAUCUGUAGCGGGUCUGAGAGGAUGAUCCGCCACAAUGGGACUGAGACACGGCCCAGACUCCUACGGGAGGCAGCAGUGGGGAAUUUUGGACAAUGGGCGAAAGCCUGAUCCAGCCAUGCAGCGUGAGUGAAGAAGGCCUUCGGGUUGUAAAGCUCUUUCGGACGGGAAGAAAUCAUGAGGGCUAAUAUCCCUUGUGGAUGACGGUACCGUAAUAAGAAGCACCGGCUAACUACGUGCCAGCCGCCGCAGUAA